rnacentral:rRNA from 1 species
AACGAACGCUGGCGGCGCGCCUAAUACAUGCAAGUCGAGCGAGAAGACGUAGCAAUACGUUUGUAAAGCGGCGAACGGGUGAGGAAUACAUGGGUAACCUACCCUCGAGUGGGGAAUAACUAGCCGAAGGUUAGCUAAUACCGCGUACGCUCCUUGGACUUCGGUUCAGGGAGGAAAGCGAUACCGUGGGUAUCGCGCUCUUGGAUGGGCUCAUGUCCUAUCAGCUUGUUGGUGAGGUAACGGCUCACCAAGGCUUCGACGGGUAGCUGGUCUGAGAGGACGAUCAGCCACACUGGCACUGCGACACGGGCCAGACUCCUACGGAGGCAGCAGUAAGGAAUAUUGCGCAAUGGGCGAAAGCCUGACGCAGCGACGCCGCGUGGGGGAUGAAGGUCUUCGGAUUGUAAACCCCUUU